CGUACAAACCGUUGCUUUCUUUUUCCUUGAACGUUAUACUUCCAUUUCUGCUCCCUCUUGAACGACCAAACUCCAUACUUAGUUUCCUCUACCGAAAAAUUUAUAAGUUUGUAUGUUGCUGUUGCCAUCAUACCACAUCACAAUCUUCUGCGGCUUCGGCUCGACACCAUCACCAAGAGGAUCAAGGCUGAUCUCUGUGUUGCUGUUCAACCACCAACGAGAGCCGCCGUUAGCUGUGUUUAGGUCCAUAAAUGGAGGAAGGCUGGAUCGUAUACAGUUGGUCGCAGUAAAGGAGGAAUAGGAUUCUCGCUAUCUCCUUCCAAGUGAUGACGGAUUUUCCGUCAAGACUGGAUGUAGGGUGACAGCUCACCCCCGAGAUAUUGAGAAGUAUGGUAUUGUAAUAGUAAACCCCAGUUUUAUAAAUAGAAGCUUAGUUAGUGGUUAAUCGAAUAGCUUCACUUUUGUAUCAAAUCUUGAGGGUGUUAAACUAGUCUAUUUACAUAGAUACGAUAAUGUUGUAGUUGUGGUUUGUGAAAAAUAAUAUCCUACGUUUCUAUCUCA